CUUGACUCCAGUCCUGGCACUCUAUGCAUUGUGCUACCUAGCUAUGCCAAUAUAUUACUUUCAAAGGUGUACUUGUCUGUGUUUCCUUUUGAAUCUUUCUAUUGGGUGUAUUUUUUAAACCUUUACCUUCUGCCUUAGAAUCAGUACUGUAUAUUGGUUCCAAGGCAGAAGAGUGGUAAGGGCUAGGCAAUGGGAGUUAAAUGAUUUGCACAUGGUCACCCAGCUAGGAAGCAUCUUAGUCCAGAUUUGAACUUGGGGCCUCCCAUCUCUAGUCCUAGCUCUCAAUCCACGAGCCACCUAACUGUCCUCUACUUGUGUUUAUUUUAAAGAAUCAGAAGACAUGGGUUUAAAUUUUGGUUCUGUCACUUAUGGAAAAAAAAGUAUAGUCAGUAACUGCAUGGAAGAAUGCUCCAAAUCACUAAUUCCUUUAUUAGUGAUUUCUUCCUUUAGAUAAUAAAUAUUUGUGGAGGAUGUGGGACACUCAUGCAUUGCUGGUGGAAUUGUGAACUGAUCCAACCAUUCUGGAGAGUUUGGAAUUAUGCCCAAAGAGCUUUAAAAGAAUGCCUGCCCUUUGACCCAGCCAUACCACUGCUGGGUUUGCACCCUAAAGAGAUAAUAGGGAAAAAUACUCAUAAAAAUAUUUAUAGCAGUGCUCUUUGUGUUGGCAAAAAAAUUGGAAAAUGAGGGGGUGUCCAUUGAUUGGGGAAUGGCUGAACAAAUUAUGGUAUAUGAUCGUGAUGUAAUACUGUAAAAAAUGUAAUACUGCAGAUUCUUGAAAGUGUACUUUUCCCCCCAGACAGCCAGUUGGUAAAUAUUUACCAGGUCAGCACUGGAAGGGGCAGGGUUGAGGAGCACAGUACAGAAGCUCCAGGGUAAGAAAACAACCAAGGAAGAGGUAGAAAAAGUGAGGAGAAUCAAGAGAAUAGCUGCUGUAAGCUGUGACUGGUUCAAGCAUUUCCUCAAAUGGAGAUUCCCAGCCAGAACUCAUCAGUGAGAGAAGGGGCCCAACUGAAGGAGUGGAAGCAUCUUCAGGAAGAGAAGGAAGCUGAACAAGAGGUGGAAAAAUCUAGAGAAUCAAAAGCAGAGCCAGAAGAGAAGACUGAAGAGUUAUUUCUCAAGAUGAAGAAUCUUAAUGAAAUGAUGCUGCUGCAAAUGAAAAUAGUUAGAGAUGAACUCCAACAAUGGAUUGAGAAAAACAACAACUUUCUCAAAAAAAUUUACUCAUCAGAAUAUACAAUGCAGGGUUUAUUAAGAGAAAUGACCAAGAUAGACUACCUUAUAGAAAAAUCAGAUGAUGAAGAUAGCAGUCUAUCCGGAAAUGAACACCCCCAAAAACUGGAGGCCAAAAAAUGGUUUAACAAUACUUUUACUGAAGUUCAGAAAUUCAAGACGAAACUUCUUCAAAGGAUAGAGGUAAGAUUUCAUGGUGCAGAUAUUCCAGAACUUAAUUAAGAUAAUUAUAAUAAUAAAAUAUGAUCAUAUCUUUAUAGUAGAAAUAGG
rnacentral:lncRNA from 1 species